GAGUUUGAUCCUGGCUCAGAAUGAACGCUGGCGGCAGGCCUAACACAUGCAAGUCGAGCGGGGACUUCGGUCCUAGCGGCGGACGGGUGAGUAACGCGUGGGAACAUGCCCUUUGCUACGGAAUAGCCUCGGGAAACUGAGAGUAAUACCGUAUGUGCCCUUCGGGGGAAAGAUUUAUCGGCAAAGGAUUGGCCCGCGUUGGAUUAGGUAGUUGGUGGGGUAAUGGCCUACCAAGCCGACGAUCCAUAGCUGGUUUGAGAGGAUGAUCAGCCACACUGGGACUGAGACACGGCCCAGA
rnacentral:rRNA from 1 species